AUUCUUGAAAAGUGGGUCGAAAUCUUGUCAAAAACAUUUACUAUCGUUGUUUGUUGUUGAAAUAAUUGGUCCGAAUCGGUAAGCCAUUGAACAUGGACUUAUUCACGAAGGAUGACGACACCGUUCACCGGGAGGCGUUGUGGAAAACAAUAGCGCAUCAUAUUGAAGCUGUGCCGGUUGAACUAAGGAAAGCCUUGGAGGAAAGAAAAUUCGAUCGGCUCAUAAUUCUGGGAAAUCUGGAUGAGCAUGCCAAGUCUCCCGUUGGAUGUAGGUCCGAAGAUUUUCCUUGGCUACAUGGUAAAACGCAUCCGAGAAUUAACCAUCCCGUUUUUGAAUGCGGAUUUAAACAGUCGCGUUGGUUCCCAUCGUUCGGUGGAUAUAACACCGAACCAGAAAACCAUGAAGAAGCGAAAGCAUACGCCCACUACUUCUGCGGGAAGCUCGAUGCUCGGCUCGAUGGAAAGUGAAGCCGAUUUUAACGCCAGCGUGUAUCAGAACCGGAUUGCAGUUCUCGUCGCAAAUUUCUUGAACACAAAAUCGCUGCCAGGUCAGGUGAAACCCGGAGAUGUUCAAGUAAUUGUGUCCAAAAAUGAAGCAGAGCCUCCGGUAGCAAAAGUCGUUUGUGUCAGCUGUAAAUUGCCGUGCAAUGUUGCCUUGACCGAAGCACGACCUGGCGUGUUCCACCCAAAUCUAAUUUCUUCAAACACUACACCAAGUCACAUCCAAAGUAUACUCCUCCGGUCAUGAACAAGGACAUCCGGACAGCUUUUACUCGAACCAAGAAGGAAAAUGUAAGAAAUCAGGAGCAGCAGACAACAGUAACUGAAAGCAGUGCAUCUCACUAUGACCUCUUGGAGUCAGACGUUCCCGGCGAAGGCGU